CACUAUCGUUAACUGAAUACAUAGGUUAACGAGGCGAACCGGGGGAACUGAAACAUCUAAGUACCCCGAGGAAAAGAAAUCAACCGAGAUUCCCCCAGUAGCGGCGAGCGAACGGGGAGCAGCCCAGAGUCUGAAUCAGCUUGUGUGUUAGUGGAACGGUCUGGAAAGUCCGACGGUACAGGGUGAUAGUCCCGUACACCAAAAUGCACAGGUUGUGAACUCGAAGAGUAGGGCGGGACACGUGGUAUCCUGUCUGAAUAUGGGGGGACCAUCCUCCAAGGCUAAAUACUCCUGACUGACCGAUAGUGAACCAGUACCGUGAGGGAAAGGCGAAAAGAACCCCGGCGAGGGGAGUGAAAAAGAACCUGAAACCGUGUACGUACAAGCAGUGGGAGCACCUUUAUGGUGUGACUGCGUACCUUUUGUAUAAUGGGUCAGCGACUUAUAUUCUGUAGCAAGGUUAACCGUAUAGGGGAGCCGCAGGGAAACCGAGUCUUAACUGGGCGUUAAGUUGCAGGGUAUAGACCCGAAACCCGGUGAUCUAGCCAUGGGCAGGUUGAAGGUUGGGUAACACUAACUGGAGGACCGAACCGACUAAUGUUGAAAAAUUAGCGGAUGACUUGUGGCUGGGGGUGAAAGGCCAAUCAAACCGGGAGAUAGCUGGUUCUCCCCGAAAGCUAUUUAGGUAGCGCCUCGUGAACUCAUCUUCGGGGGUAGAGCACUGUUUCGGCUAGGGGGUCAUCCCGACUUACCAACCCGAUGCAAACUACGAAUACCGAAGAAUGUUAUCACGGGAGACACACGGCGGGUGCUAACGUCCGUCGUGAAGAGGGAAACAACCCAGACCGCCAGCUAAGGUCCCAAAGUCAUGGUUAAGUGGGAAACGAUGUGGGAAGGCACAGACAGCCAGGAUGUUGGCUUAGAAGCAGCCAUCAUUUAAAGAAAGCGUAAUAGCUCACUGGUCGAGUCGGCCUGCGCGGAAGAUGUAACGGGGCUAAACCAUGCACCGAAGCUGCGGCAGCGACACUAUGUGUUGUUGGGUAGGGGAGCGUUCUGUAAGCCUGCGAAGGUGACCUGUGAGGGCUGCUGGAGGUAUCAGAAGUGCGAAUGCUGACAUAAGUAACGAUAAAGCGGGUGAAAAGCCCGCUCGCCGGAAGACCAAGGGUUCCUGUCCAACGUUAAUCGGGGCAGGGUGAGUCGACCCCUAAGGCGAGGCCGAAAGGCGUAGUCGAUGGGAAACAGGUUAAUAUUCCUGUACUUGGUGUUACUGCGAAGGGGGGACGGAGAAGGCUAUGUUAGCCGGGCGACGGUUGUCCCGGUUUAAGCAUGUAGGCUGGUUAUCCAGGCAAAUCCGGAUAAUCAAGGCUGAGGUGUGAUGACGAGGCACUACGGUGCUGAAGUAACAAAUGCCCUGCUUCCAGGAAAAGCCUCUAAGCAUCAGGUAACAUCAAAUCGUACCCCAAACCGACACAGGUGGUCAGGUAGAGAAUACCAAGGCGCUUGAGAGAACUCGGGUGAAGGAACUAGGCAAAAUGGUGCCGUAACUUCGGGAGAAGGCACGCUGGUGUGUAGGUGAAGUCCCUGCGGAUGGAGCUGAGACCAGUCGAAGAUACCAGCUGGCUGCAACUGUUUAUUAAAAACACAGCACUGUGCAAACACGAAAGUGGACGUAUACGGUGUGACGCCUGCCCGGUGCCGGAAGGUUAAUUGAUGGGGUUAUCCGUAAGGAGAAGCUCUUGAUCGAAGCCCCGGUAAACGGCGGCCGUAACUAUAACGGUCCUAAGGUAGCGAAAUUCCUUGUCGGGUAAGUUCCGACCUGCACGAAUGGCGUAAUGAUGGCCAGGCUGUCUCCACCCGAGACUCAGUGAAAUUGAACUCGCUGUGAAGAUGCAGUGUACCCGCGGCAAGACGGAAAGACCCCGUGAACCUUUACUAUAGCUUGACACUGAACAUUGAGCCUUGAUGUGUAGGAUAGGUGGGAGGCUUUGAAGCGUGGACGCCAGUCUGCGUGGAGCCAACCUUGAAAUACCACCCUUUAAUGUUUGAUGUUCUAACGUUGGCCCCUUAUCGGGGUUGCGGACAGUGUCUGGUGGGUAGUUUGACUGGGGCGGUCUCCUCCCAAAGCGUAACGGAGGAGCACGAAGGUUAGCUAAUCCUGGUCGGACAUCAGGAGGUUAGUGCAAUGGCAUAAGCUAGCUUGACUGCGAGCGUGACGGCGCGAGCAGGUGCGAAAGCAGGUCAUAGUGAUCCGGUGGUUCUGAAUGGAAGGGCCAUCGCUCAACGGAUAAAAGGUACUCCGGGGAUAACAGGCUGAUACCGCCCAAGAGUUCAUAUCGACGGCGGUGUUUGGCACCUCGAUGUCGGCUCAUCACAUCCUGGGGCUGAAGUAGGUCCCAAGGGUAUGGCUGUUCGCCAUUUAAAGUGGUACGCGAGCUGGGUUUAGAACGUCGUGAGACAGUUCGGUCCCUAUCUGCCGUGGGCGCUGGAGAAUUGAGGGGGGCUGCUCCUAGUACGAGAGGACCGGAGUGGACGCAUCACUGGUGUUCGGGUUGUCAUGCCAAUGGCACUGCCCGGUAGCUAAAUGCGGAAGAGAUAAGUGCUGAAAGCAUCUAAGCACGAAACUUGCCCCGAGAUGAGUUCUCCCUGAGACUAUAAGUCUCCUGAAGGAACGUUAAAGACGAUGACGUUGAUAGGCCGGGUGUGUAAGCGCAGCGAUGCGUUGAGCUAACCGGUACUAAUGAACCGUGAGGCUUAACCUU
rnacentral:rRNA from 2 species